rnacentral:rRNA from 1 species
CCAGCAGCCGCGGUAAUACGUAGGUCUCAAGCGUUAUCCGGAUUUACUGGGCGUAAAGCGUCCGCAGGUGGUUUGACAAGUCAAAGGUUAAAGCCUGGAGCUCAACUCCAGUUCGCCUUCGAAACUGUUAGACUAGAGUGUGAUAGGGGGUAGUGGAAUUCGAUGUGUAGCGGUGGAAUGCAUAGAUAUAUCGAGGAACACCAGUGGCGAAGGCGGCUACCUGGGUCAUCACUGACACUCAUGGACGAAAGCGUGGGGAGCAAACAGGAUUAGAUACCCUGGUAGUCCAUGCUGUAAACGAUGAUUGCUAGAUGUUGGUAUAAAGUAUUUAUAUUAGUAUCUGAGCUAACGCAUUAAGCAAUCCGCCUGAGUAGUACGGUCGCAAGAUUAAAACUCAAAGAAAUUGACGGGGACCCGCACAAGCGGUGGAUGAUGUGGUUUAAUUCGAUGCAACGCGAAGAACCUUACCAACGUUUGACAUCUUCUGCAAUGCUAUAGAGAUAUAGCGGAGGCUAACAGAAUGACAGGUGGUGCAUGGUUGUCGUCAGCUCGUGUCGUGAGAUGUUGGGUUAAGUCCCGCAACGAGCGCAACCCUCAUUUUUAGUUGCUAACAGGUUAAGCUGAGCACUCUAAAGAAACUGCUGGUGUUAAACCAGAGGAAGGUGGGGAUGACGUCAAGUCCUCAUGGCCCUUAUGCCUUGGGCUACACACGUGCUACAAUGGUAGUGACAACGAGUUGCAAGUUCGCAAGGAUGAGCUAAUCUUGAAAAGCUACCUCAGUUCGGAUUGUACUCUGAAACUCGAGUACAUGAAGUUGGAAUCGCUAGUAAUCGCAAAUCAGCAUGUUGCGGUGAAUACGUUCCCGGGUCUUGUACACACCGCCCGUCACACCAUGGGAGCUGAUUUUACCUUAAGCUGGUGCACCAACCGCAAGGAGGAAGCCAACCAAGGUAGGAUUAGUGACUGGGGUGAAGUCGAAACAAGGUAGCCGUAGAGGAACCUGCGGCUG